rnacentral:lncRNA from 1 species
UGUGCCUUGCCCAUGGCCACAGCUGUUGACAGGGCGCGCUUUCUGCAGCCCAGUCCCUGUGAGGAGCCCUCAUGGGGCGCUUUUAUCUGAAGAGUUCCUUUGCCCCUUUAGACCUCCCUGGCUUAGAGCUGACGUUCUCCCUGUCAUAUCACUUACGCUCUGAUCAGAGGUGUUUAUCACCCUCUUCUUCUGAGUGAUAUUGUUGCUGUGUAAUUUACUUACUUGGCUGACUUCAGCUUGGAGGCUUGCACUUUGUUGACGGAGAUUGUUUCUAGGGAUUAUCUAAACCUCUUCUCCAUUACCAUUUUUGAAGUGAACAUUAUACAGCUUCGAUGCUGAAGUACAGCUCCCUCCAGCCUUCUCUCUCUUUCUGCAGCCAUCACACACAAGCAUGCCGAAGCCCUGUGUUGGAAUGGAUGGCUCCUGCCUGGGGGCCAUCAUUAUUCCCUCGCCACUUGCCUCAGCAAACCUUGGGGACACUGAAGGCUCCAGUGCUGUUCUCUCUCCAGAUCCAUUUACAACCCACUCUCAAGAAAGGCUAUAAAACUCUUUUCCUCUGAAGCAUAUUGGAUAGGCCCAAGCACAGAACAUUAGACUAGAAGAAUCUUUGGGUCUGAUCUAGUCUAACCCUUUCUUUUUAUAGGGGAGAAAAUGAUGACUUACAGCAGAGAUCCUUCACUUUUUUGGUCAUGAAUUGAACCAUUUUGAUAUGCCUAUAGGCAUUUUCUUAGAAUAAUAUUUUUAAAUACAUAAAAUAAAAUCUAUAACAUAUCAAGGAAAAUUGAUUUU